rnacentral:rRNA from 1 species
UACGUAGGGGGCAAGCGUUAUCCGGAUUUACUGGGUGUAAAGGGAGCGCAGACGGUUUAGCAAGUCUGAAGUGAAAGCCCGGGGCUCAACCCCGGAACUGCUUUGGAAACUGUUAGGCUUGAGUGCUGGAGAGGCAAGCGGAAUUCCUAGUGUAGCGGUGAAAUGCGUAGAUAUUAGGAGGAACACCAGUGGCGAAGGCGGCUUGCUGGACAGUAACUGACGUUGAGGCUCGAAAGCGUGGGGAGCAA